UGGGGAAUAUUGGACAAUGGGGGGAACCCUGAUCCAGCCAUGCCGCGUGUGUGAAGAAGGCCUUAUGGUUGUAAAGCACUUUAAGCGAGGAGGAGGGUACUGGUAUUAAUACUACCAGGUACUGGACGUUACUCGCAGAAUAAGCACCGGCUAACUCUGUGCCAGCAGCCGCGGUAAUACAGAGGGUGCGAGCGUUAAUCGGAUUUACUGGGCGUAAAGCGUGCGUAGGCGGCUAAUUGAGUCGGAUGUGAAAUCCCCGAGCUUAACUUGGGAAUUGCAUUCGAUACUGGUUAGCUGGAGUGUGGGAGAGGAUGGUAGAAUUCCAGGUGUAGCGGUGAAAUGCGUAGAGAUCUGGAGGAAUACCGAUGGCGAAGGCAGCCAUCUGGCCUAACACUGACGCUGAGGUACGAGAGCAUGGGGAGCAAACAGG
rnacentral:rRNA from 1 species